rnacentral:rRNA from 1 species
UACGGAGGGGGCUAGCGUUGCUCGGAAUUACUGGGCGUAAAGGGCGCGUAGGCGGCGCUGCAAGUCAGGCGUGAAAUUCCUGGGCUUAACCUGGGGGCUGCGCUUGAGACUGUGGUGCUAGAGGAUGGAAGAGGCUCGUGGAAUUCCCAGUGUAGAGGUGAAAUUCGUAGAUAUUGGGAAGAACACCGGUGGCGAAGGCGGCGAGCUGGUCCAUUACUGACGCUGAGGCGCGACAGCGUGGGGAGCAAACAGG